rnacentral:rRNA from 1 species
UGGGGAAUAUUGGACAAUGGGGGAAACCCUGAUCCAGCGACGCCGCGUGAGUGAAGAAGUAUUUCGGUAUGUAAAGCUCUAUCAGCAGGGAAGAAAAUGACGGUACCUGACUAAGAAGCCCCGGCUAACUACGUGCCAGCAGCCGCGGUAAUACGUAGGGGGCAAGCGUUAUCCGGAUUUACUGGGUGUAAAGGGAGCGCAGACGGCGAAGCAAGUCUGAAGUGAAAUGCAUGGGCUCAACCCAUGAAUUGCUUUGGAAACUGUUUGGCUUGAGUGUCGGAGGGGUAAGCGGAAUUCCUAGUGUAGCGGUGAAAUGCGUAGAUAUUAGGAGGAACACCGGAGGCGAAGGCGGCUUACUGGACGACAACUGACGUUGAGGCUCGAAGGCGUGGGGAGCAAACAGGAUUAGAUACCCUGGUAGUCCACGCAGUAACGAUGAAUACUUGGUGUCGGGGAGGUAAACUCUUCGGUGCCGCAAGCAAACGCAUUAAGUAUUCCACCUGGGGAGUACGUUCGCAAGAAUG